AAAAGGAAAAACUGAUACAAGAUGGAAAUCUUGUCACUCAUGAGCUGGGUAACUAUAUCAGUUGUCAUGGUCAUGGUCAUCAGCUGACAAGAUGGUUUGUGGGGACUCUGCUCACGAGGAGUAAACAGUCUACUAAGGGAAAAACAAAGAGAGACACUGGGGUUCAGAACUUAGGAGCUCCCCUGCCAGUGCUCAGGAGAGACAGCAUGCACUAGACAGGAAACCAGGGUAAGGUGUCUGGCUUUCAGUUUGACUUUAUUUCCCAUCACUUUAGAGAGUUAAGAAAAGUGUUUUUGUUGUUGUUAUUGUUUUUAUUUUAGGGCCUCGUGUUCUUUCUCUGUACAACAAGAGACAGGCAAUAAAACAAGAUGUUCUAUUGCAAUUUUUUUUAGCUGUGACACUGGAGGAUGCUAUAAAAUGAAAGGUGGCUAAGCCAAUGGAAGGGUGGAUGGAGGGAGAAUGGAUAGCUGAGUGAGCAGAGUUGUGGCUGGUGGACAGAAGAACACGUGAACAGGUACACACGAUCUUCCUGAGGCCGAGUCCAACUUGCUAUCCCCAGAAUCAUCUUCCCAUUCCCAGACCCAGAGCAUGGGGUUCCAAGACAUAACAGAAACCUCAAUUGAAGGAGGAUGAAUAAGUGGAUGGAUUAAUAGGUGCAUUCGUUUUACCUUUUCUCCUUUCUCUUUCUUUUAAACCUCUCUCAUUUUUAACACCAUAUUUAACACCAUCUUUCUCAUGUUGGUUCACUCUUUUACAUCUUUAAGCAUUUAAAUCUUACUUACUGUACAGUCCUUUACCCAAUAACUCUAAUGUCUGGGGUUCUAGGCCAAGGUGAAUCCUGUUGGAUGUUGUGUCUGCUUUGUCUCAUUUACCACAGAUUUUUUUCUUACAUUUUGUAAUUUGAGGUGUGAUCUGAGCUUCAUCAGAGUUUUAUCAGUAGGAAUUCACAUGACCAGGUUUGAGGAUGCUAUACUUUGGAUCUUCAAUGUCUUCCAAAGGCCCCAUGUAUUAAUGGCUUGGUCCUCAGGGUAGUACUAUUGGAAGGUGAAACCUUUAAAAGGUAGGGCCUUGUCUAUGACCAUUCUACCCUGAAUGCACCCAAUCUUGUCUAAAAGGUAGGGCCUAGGGGGAGGCAUUGGAGCCAGGCCCCUGAGGGAGAUUUUGGGACCCUGGCCCAUCCAGUCUCUCUCUGCUCUCUGGUUUUUCUUCCACCAUGUACUCCUAUUGCGAGAUGCUGCCUCACCACAGGUCCAAAGCAAAGGAACCAACCUGUCAUGGACUGAACCCUCCCGAACUGUUG
rnacentral:lncRNA from 1 species